GAGACUUGUGAAGGUCAUAAGCUUUAUAUUCAUAUUUAUAACAUUUAUACGAAUAAUAAAGAACAUUGAAAUGUAUUUUAAUAUGGGGACUUUUAUUUUAAAGUUAACUGCUGAUAAACAACAUUUGUACGGCAUUGACUUUAAAGUAAAAAUAAAUAAAUAAAUAAACAAAUAAAUAAAUAAAUAAAUAAAUAAGACACAAACUUGAUCUUUGCUUUAAUGGUUUUAUAGUGCAUUGUUUUCAACAUCUGAUAUAUACCAAUAUAAAGAUUAGGCCAUCUUAUAUAAAGACUAAAGACUGUAAACACAUUAUUAUAACGAUAUCGUUAACUAUAAAAAAUAUAGUUUUAUUUUAUAGAGAACAGAAGAGUUCACACUAAACCAAUGACAGCCAAUCAAAUCUGUACUUGAAUCUAAAGUGCACGCGCCUUUGAAAUGACAAGCACUGUGGAGAAGCCGAGGCCCAUUACAUAAAAUUACCUCAGGUGUCCAGCGCUGUUGCAGUUAAAUUGACUUCAUAAUGUUUUAUUCUACUUUUACCAAAAGACCGCUGUGCAGCUUUUGGUUCCAGGAUGGCAGAACUUAACCACUGUGAACAUGAAAGUCCAAAACACUGUUCACAAGAGGGUUAAGUCCCGAAACCGUACAACCUUACGGAAACCGUGGAAAGUGUGCGUAAAUGUGCACAAGAACUUCAUUCAGACAGUUGACAUUCCUUCAGGAUUAGCGUGUGGAGCGUUCAGAUCUGCAGGGCCGGUUACUUCAGCGUAUGAUCCUGCAUCUGAUACAACCUGCUAUCCAACAUGAACAUGAAGAGUCUGUCCUGUGGUUUGAGUCCAGCGCGGUCGGCGGGCGAGUCGGGGUCCAGUGCCCGUAUGUACUGACCCGGUUUGGACUUCUCGCUGUGCAGGUUAAAACCAUAACCCGUCUCAGACCGAAUGAGGCAAC